rnacentral:rRNA from 1 species
CUACGUGCCAGCAGCCGCGGUAAUACGGAGGGUGCGAGCGUUAAUCGGAAUAACUGGGCGUAAAGGGCACGCAGGCGGUGACUUAAGUGAGGUGUGAAAGCCCCGGGCUUAACCUGGGAAUUGCAUUUCAUACUGGGUCGCUAGAGUACUUUAGGGAGGGGUAGAAUUCCACGUGUAGCGGUGAAAUGCGUAGAGAUGUGGAGGAAUACCGAAGGCGAAGGCAGCCCCUUGGGAAUGUACUGACGCUCAUGUGCGAAAGCGUGGGGAGCAAACAGGAUUAGAUACCCUGGUAGUCCACGCUGUAAACGAUGUCGAUUUGGGGGUUGAACUUUAAGUUUGGCGCCCGUAGCUAACGUGAUAAAUCGACCGCCUGGGGAGUACGGCCGCAAGGUUAAAACUCAAAGGAAUAGACGGGGACCCGCACAAGCGGUGGAGCAUGUGGUUUAAUUCGAAGAUACGCGAAGAACCUUACCCGGACUUGAUAUC